GCCCUCGUAGCUUAGUUGGAUAGAGCGUCGGAUUGCGGAUCCGAAGGUCGCUGGUUCGAGUCCAGUCGAGGGCG
rnacentral:tRNA from 1 species